UAAGGAAUAUUGCUCAAUGGGCGAAAUCCUGAAGCAGCAACGCCGCGUGGAGGAUGAAGGGUCUAUGACUUGUAAACUCCUGUAAAGAAGGAAAAAAUUCCCAUUUGAUGGGAGAUGAUGGUACUUCUGGAGUAAGCCCCGGCUAACUACGUGCCAGCAGCCGCGGUAAUACGUAGGGGGCAAGCGUUGUCCGGAUUUACGGGGUGUAAAGGGUGCUCAGGCGGAUUUGUAAGUCAGAGGUGAAAUCUUACAGCUUAACUGUGAAACUGCCUUUGAUACUGCAAGCCUAGAGUAUGGAAGAGAGUGAUGGAAUAUCUGGUGUAGCAGUGAAAUGCGUAGAUAUCAGAUAGAACACCAAUGGCGAAGGCAGUCACUUGGUCCAUUACUGACGCUAAAGCACGAAAGCGUGGGUAGCAAACA
rnacentral:rRNA from 1 species